rnacentral:lncRNA from 1 species
AUGUGUUUUCAAGCUUUCCGCACCCUCCUGAAUGCAGCCUUGUCUGCCAUCAGCCCUAGGAGGGCAUCUCAGGUCUCCACUUGGUGGACCCUGGAGGAAAACACGGUGGACGCUGGAGGAACCUCCUGGCUUCAGCACCUCUUCUCACACUGGGUUUCUUCUAGUGGAGCCAACAAAAGGUCACAGUCUUAUUUCAUGUCCUCUGAGCACAGAAGAAAACUAGGGCUCAAUGAAUAAAACAUUUCUUCAUAAAAAUUAGAGGAAGGAGACUGAUUGAGCUUACAUUCCCAAAUCAUAGGCCCACUACCACAGGACAGGUAAAGUCAUGGAGAUAUAUAGCAUAUCAUAUUCCUACUUGCUUACAAUCUUCUUGUGAGUCUGGUUCCUAAUUUAGAGUACUGGGUCACUGGGUCCAUCUGCGUAUCCAUCCACCAUCCAUUCUUCCUUCCAUCUAUCUCCAUAUUCAUCCAUCUUAGCGUCCUGAUUCUUGUCCCUUAAAAGCUAUAAUACAAUGUUUCCAUUAUGUGAUCUGACUUUUAACAAGCACCC